rnacentral:lncRNA from 1 species
UGUUUUUCAAAGGUGCUUUUGAACUAAAAAACAAAAGCUAGAAAUUCUAGCUUUCUCAUUUGAAAAAAAAAAAUACAUUUAAAGUCAAAUGGUAUUUUUAACCCUCAUUUAUAAUCUAAUGUACAGGGGCGAAGCUAGAAAAAUUUUAUAGGGAGCCGAAAUUAAAUUGUAAUUUUUAAUAGCCUAAAUCUUUAUAAUAUUUAAAGGAUUAAAUCAAAAUUUUAUCAUUUUUAGGGGGUAAAUUGAAAUUUUACCUUUACUAAUUUAAAAUUUUUAAAUUUUUAAAGGGACUAAAUGAACAAUUUUUUAUUUUAGGGGGGUCGGGCCCCUACUAGCCCCCUAGAUAUGCCACUACUAAUGUAUCUUAUGUAAUAUCUAUAUUGGAUAUACAAUUAUGUUAAUAUUAAAAUUUAUUUCAAAAUAUAUAAGAAUUUUUAAUAAUUAUUUUUUUUAAUAUUUAAAAUAUAUUUUAUAUAUUCAAAUUAAAUUUUACGAACGAUUUAUAUCAAUUGCUUAAAAAUAUUUAAAAUUUAUCAUAUAUCAAAAUAUUAAUAAUAAUAUUUUCUUAUAUUUUUAUUGAGAUAUCAUAAUAUUAAUGAACUUUAACAUAAUUUAAAUGUAUUUUUUAUUUUAAUUUUACCUCUGUCACCCACUAUAAUAAAAUUUGUUAUUAACAUUUUAUUAAUCUUUUAUAUACGUGUUAGAUUCUUUGCUUUUUGUCAGUUGCUUCAAUUAUCUUCUGCUUUUUUGUCACUAUGUAUUUUGAAAUUAAAAAUGUAAAAUUGAUACCAACAGAAAAAUUUAACACAAAUAUUUUAUGGCAUCAUCAAUAAUUCAAUUUUAAUAGAAAUUUUUAUUUUGGGGGUAAAGGGUGAAAAGUAAAAGUUUAGGGGGAAAAUAAAAAGUUUUGAGGGUUGAGGGAGUAAAAUUUUAGGGGAAAGCAAUUGGGGGGAAAAUAUUCAAAAAAAAAAAUUGGGGAGUAAAAGUUUUAGGGGGAAGUGGGUGGGAGUAAAAGUAUUUGGGGAAAAUAAAAAGGUUUAGAGGUUUGGGGCAAAAAUGUAAAAUAUUAUAGUUUGAUAUUUGGUUUAUUCGGAUUAUUCGAGUUCGAAAAUGAAACUUGAUUCGAACUCAAAAUUUGAAAAAAAAAUUUGAGUUGACUCGAAUAACUCGAUUCCUUUAAAUUGAAAUUCAAUUUUUUUUUCGAUUUUUUCUAGUCGAAUCAAGUUUUGAUCACCCCUAACCAUAAAGCUCAUAAAUUUUAAUUAUGUAACAUUUUAUGUUUUUUAAUUAAUUGUUAUAAUUUUUAUUUUUUAAUUAAUUUCCAAUAUUUUUUAUAAAUUUUAAAAUUUUUAUAAUAUUCUUUUAUAGUUCUAUGAUAAAUCUAAUAAAUGGGUACAUUUGUCUAGAUUCAUUUUGUACUUAUUUUAAAAAUAACUUUUUUAUUUUUAUUUUUGCAAACUUGGCACUACAAUAACAGCAAUCGGUAAAUAUUAUAAAAGCUCAUAAAUUUAGAUUUAUCAUAGAAGAACUCUAUGAAUAAAUGGGUAUCCUUUUUCAAUAUCAAAUAACUUGAAGAACUCUUUGGAUCUAAAGUUAUGAUAAGAGUAAGUAGCUCAACACAUGUUCAUUAAAUAUGCCAUUCAAUUCUUUCAACUAAUUAUCUAUUGUAGCAAUAUAUAUCCACUUGUAGCAAAAUGUAUAUAUCCACUCGAAAAUGAUGCUCUACUAUAACAUCUUCCUUCUUUUUACAACUAUGACCCACCAUGUAUUGAACACUCAUAUCUAGAAUAAUCAACUCUCAAGUUUCACAAAAAUGAUAUUAUAUUGUUCAACAAUUCAUUCCAUCCAUUGCCUUUCAAUUUUUGAACUAAAUUUUUUUUGUUGAGACAAGACUCAUUGCAUUUAACAUAUCUGUAACACCCCUUGUCCGAUCUAACCACUGGGUUUGAGCUACAGGAUGCUACAGUCGUUGUCAGAGCAAUUACUAACAAAAUCAUAUUAAAAUCAUCAUUUCAACUCAUCAAUCAUGCAAUCAACAAUUAUACAACAUUGAAUAUCAUGAACAUUCUUUUCCGGGUCUUAUACAAGCAUACAAAUGCUUUAAAGUCCACUUGAUAUCAAAUAGGGACCUUUUGUAACAUUUAUAAAAUUUCAGAUCAAGUACACCAUAAAUAAAUCAUUCAAAUAUUCAAUCUUGGCAUAAGCACCUAGAUAUUACGAUACACAAUUAAAUCUAAGUCUUAAUAGAACUUACGAAAGCUCUUUGGUAGACCCGAGCAUAAGUUAGGAUCAAAGUGUAAAGUUUUUCGAAAUUUCUAGAUCAGGUAAGGAUACCCCUUAUAAGUAUCGAUACCAAUCUGAACUUCGAUGUUUGGAAAAAUUCAUCUUUAAAUCACAAGUACUGAUACCUAUUAUAAGGUACUGAUACAUCCUUAUAAGUAAUGAUACUUAUUAUAAGUGCCGAUACUAAUUUGUGAAUCUAAUUAUUUUGUAAAACAGAACCAAAGUCAUAUGCAUCGAUACCCUUGUAAAGUAUUGGUAUCUAGAUGUAGGGUAUCGAUACCAAAUUGACAUUUUGUUUGAUUGAAAAAUCAUUUGAGAAUACUAAGUAUCGAUAUCUUUGCCAAGGGUACCAAUACUUCAAUGCCAAAAUGUUAAAAACAUCCAUUUUGUGCCCAUUUCAUGCCUAACCAAGUCUAUACUUAAAAUGGAGCCUUAAGCACACCAAGGACCUGCAACAAUUUCAUUUCAAAACAUAUACCAUAAUCCAAUAUACAACUCUAACAUCAGCUAAACCAAUAUGCCAUAUUUGGCACCAUUUCACAUUCAUAUAAAUAUGUCAAUUUCAUACAUAAACCAAGAAUUCAUUCAAGCAAUGCAUCUAAACACAACAUUUCCAUUUGCAUAAUCAAACAAACAAUUUCAUACCAACAACUUUUUCAUAGCAUAUGACUACCAAAUUUGUCAAUCAAGUAAUACUUGUGUCAUGUAUCAAAUAUAUCUACCAUCAUAUUCACAUGUUUAUAUUACCAUUAUCAACCAAAAUCCAACAUUUAUUAAGGUUAAAAUUAAAACCACAUCCAAAAGAAACACAUCUAUUAACCCUAUGUACAUGCUACAUAACUGGACAUAAAAUGUUCAAAGGCUAUCAAAUCAAAUGUUGGAUAGUGUGAUCUUUGAGUUAAACCGACUAGCGAGUUCCACAAAUCGAAUCUACAGAGAAAUUAGGAAAGUAAUAGGGUAAGCAUAUCGAAUGCUAAACAAGUCCAUAUGAAAAUAACUUAACUACCUUGACAUUUUAACUAGUUUAAGAAAUUAAAACAUAAUUGUACAAAACACGACAUUCCUUUGGCAUCCUUAUGCAUACAUAUACAACUUCACAAAACCACCAAUAGGUGAGUCCAUUAAUAGAAGAAUAUCUUAGUACUCAAUUCAUAUACAAGCACAACCAUGGCAUUUUAUAUCAUGUUAUUCAACUUUUCUCAUUUAGUAAACAUGUCAAUCUAAUAACUUGAUUCAAUUUAGUCUAACAUAGAAUUUUACAAUAAUAAGUUAAGUUCAAUGUAAUACAGAGUAAUAUAGCAUUAUGACAUGUAAUAUACUAUUCAAUAUAUUACCAUACACAUAAAUUCCACAAUAAAAUACAAUUUGUACCAUUUAUUCAUCAUGUAACCAUUUGAGCGUAAGACUCGUAUCAUUUCACUGUCAUUUAUCUUUUCCAUUAAUCUAGUAGCUUGAUGAACUAUAAUAAAUAGAUUCGGAUACACGGGUGACUACACCACACUAAAUUGCUCAUAAGAGCUCAAACUAUAACACACCAAGGCACCAAAGUGUAAAGCUCAUAGGCAUCAUAUAAUCAGUAAUUAUACAUCCCCCCACCACACCAGUAUAACUCAGUAAUCUGCAAAAAAUGUUACAUUUUGGUUUACUCCAUAAUAUCUUCGUACAAUCACAUGUAUCCCGCACAACAUGUAAAUAACCCUAUUAACAUGCCAAUCGUAUCAUAUCCUUUAAUACGUUCGCUUAGGCACUUUUAUCAUAUACAAUUCAUUUAUUUAACUAUAAUGCAGUCAAACACAUAUCAUUCAAAUAUAUCAACAUUCCAUAUUCAUUCAUAAUAAUUCUAUUUCUAAUACUUUAAUAUUUAGUCCAUAGAUGUCAAAAUCAUCAAAUUAUAUUUCACACUACUAAAAGACAUUAUAAUAUAGAUUAAACAUAACAUAAACAACGUAGUAAGUUCCAUGUGAACUUAUUUGACAAAAACAAUAACAAACAAGGUGUCAGGGAAUAAUAUUCAAUUUUUCUUUUUUUCUGAGAUUAUCAUCCAAUUAAUUCAUUUCCCGAUCAUGCAUAGGUCGAUUGUUGAAGCUUCAAAAAUGGUUUCUCCUAUGGUGUUCUAAGGUCUGGUCAUGAGAAAAAAUGAAAUGGAAAGAUGAUGGCUCCCUUUUUCUUUUAUUUGUUUUAUUAUUUUAACAUUUAAUAUAAUUUAAUUAAAAUUUUAACAUGUACAUUCCUCAAAUCUAAGCACCUAACCGCCCACCAUUAUAAAAAUGACCUAAUUGUGACUUUGAACCUUAGUUUAAUAUUAUUCAACACUUUUAACAAAUAAAAAUCAAUAGUGAUUAAAUUUUACAACUUUUUCAAUUUAGUCUUUAUACCUUAAUUAGUCGUCAAUUCGACAAAAUUACCUAUCCAAAAUUUAAUUCACCUAUAUAAUAACUCUUUAAUUAUUUAAUAAAUAUAUUUAUGGGAUUGAUUUACGAAAAUGUGGUCACAAUACCUCAAUUUUCAACAUCAUAGACUUUAAGGUCGAAACACUUGUACUUUAGCUAACUAUCCAAUUAACAAAUUCGUCAAACCAAAAUUCAAUAUAAUUUUAUAAUUAACUUGCAAAUAUUAAUUAACAACAUUUACGGACUUGAUCAUCGGAGAACAGGGUUCCAAAACUACCAUUUUCAACACCACUAACUUUUGGGUCGUUACAAUAUCUUAAGAACAGCGUUACAAAUCUUGAUAAAGAUUAUCAAUAAUCAUCAUAAUUUUAUCAUAUGCAAAAUAAAAAUAAACUCAAAAACUCUCAAUCUAUUAUAUCUACACUAUAAGCAUAUACUUAUGGAGAAUAGUUAUGAGCAAUGUUUUUUAGAUUUUGAAGAAUUGUGCUACUUGCAUGAUAUAUAGACAAUACGCCGGUAAUUGUAUUAAAAAAAGAACUCUAUCAAGUCUCACUAGGACAUUGUAAAGUGCCAAAUUGAUUCAUCAUGACGUUUCGAGAAGUAGAAGCCAUAAUAAUAUUGGACUAGACUUUGAAAAAUUGAUGCACUUCAAUUACUUCUCUAGCUAUUGGAACUAAUGCUAAUUGAAGAUGAGAAGAAAAAAAAUGAACAUAAUAAGUAUAUUAAAAUUGAUUCAAAAUUUAAGCUUGCAAGCCAUUGAAUUCACCACACAUAUUUCUUUCUCCAUUAUAGCCUUCACCUAAAAAUUCCAUUCUUCAGAGUUAGUGUUGCAGCAUUUUUAACAUGGACUAUAUAAAAAAAUCAUUUUUAACCAAUCCUUUCUUAACAACAAAUUUUAAAACAAUUGUCAUUUUCUUCUUUCUUGACUCAUUUAUUGCUUCAUCCACAAUAAUGCAAAACUUUCUAUCACCAAUUUCUUUACCAAUAGCAUCAUGAAUUAUAAUAGCAUAUAUCUUUAAUGAUGCAUGUGCACACAGUCAAGAUGCAAAUACAAGCUUAAUUUUCCCACAAUGACUAAUUACAAGAUCUAAGACUAAACAAAUCAAAGUUAAAUCAACUAUAUACUUGCAAGAAUUUGUGUCAAACACCUUCAUGAAAACCAAUCACUUGACGUUACUAUAUGGAAGACCCUCUCUCAAGUGAAUUUUUAAGACAAGUAAAAGUUAUAUACAUUAGUUUGUGCCGUGGUCAGUUUAGAGAGAGUACUAUUAUUUUAGAGUUUUAAUUCAAUUUGGUAUCUUGGAGAAUAAGACUAGUAAAAAUCAACAACUUGAGAUGUAACAUCCCUUACUUGGUCCAACGAUCAACACAAAUAAGCAAUGUCACACUGAUACUUUCAUAACUUAUACAAUUUUUUUCAUUAAAAUAAUCAUUUAAACAUUUGGUGAAAUCCGAUAAAUCAAUUUAAACAUUUAAAAAAAAAACUAUGAGCAUAUUUUUAAAAUCUCUUUGGAAUAAUUCCUAGGUGUUUGGAUAUGUCCAAAACAUAAACAGGGUUUUGGGGAUUUAGAACGACCAAAAAUACAAGUUGUAUAGGUGCAAUACAAUAAGUCUUGAUACUUUGGUAGCAAGUCUCAAGACUUGGCCCAUAAGUCUCUAGAAUUAGCAUGUAAGUAUCUAGAGUUAAGCCUCCUACUAUAGCUUUUUAGAUACUGACUUGCAACUGCCAGUACCUGAAGAUUAGGUAUCAAUACCUGGGUGUAAUAGACCUAAAAAUUAGUUCGAAAAUAUCUCAAAUCAUCCCCAAACAUCAUCAUAUGAUAUCUGUUGGAAAAUAUGGAACUAGUAAUUGAGUGCCAAGGGAGUGCCCACUCAUUUACCACAGGAGCUGUUUUAAGCAAUUUUCAUAUUUAAGAUGUUAGCAAUUUAUGAAACAAUAUUUAUUGGUUGUGCUAAUUAUAUGGUUGAUAUCUAACCCAUCAAUAAAGAUCAUAUCACUUGGCAGAAUAUUUUUUAAAGAUUAGAUUGAAUUAGACCACCUUAUUUAAUCUUUUAAGGUGAUUUCUAGGUGCUUUAAACUUGAAAUUUUGAUCCAAUACUUCAUGCCUCAAGACAUGUCACUUAAGUCUCGAGACUAACAAGUUAGUUGGCUUAGUUUUACUCCAAGGGUCCCUAGUUUCGUUACCUUUGGGCCAAGUAUCGAUACUUGCAAGCCAGUAGCUAAAAAGCCACAGUAAAAAGGGCAAAGUCUCAAUACUUAUGAGCUAAGUCUCAAUACUUUUGAGCCAAGUCUUGAGAUUUACUCCACUACACUAAAAACUUUUGUAUUUUUGUCAUUUUAAACCUCCGAGAGCUCCUUUUGGUUCCAAACACCUCCGGGAACUUAUGAAUUGUUUUUAAAUGAUUUUAAAAUGUUUUCAAAGCCUCCAAAUAUAUUAAUCUUGAUUUAUUGAAUUUAUUUAAUUGAGUUAAAAAUGAUGUCUUGAGAUUAUAAGUUAUAAGUGUCUUGCAUUUGUCUUAGUAAUAUCUCAUAUACUAAUCAUCGGGAUGAGUAAGAGGUGUUACAUGUUAUUAUUGGUUACUUAUGAAGCCUAUGAGCUUUGAUCCACGUGGCUUCUAGUAGAGAGUUAUUUGGAAGCUUAAUACCCUGCCAAAAGUCAAACUAUUUGCAUGGUGCAUAGGCCUUGAGAUAGUUCUAACAGUGGCCAAGAUAGCCACUACUCCUACGUCUAACAAUGCUAGAUGUAGGAAAUAGACCAUCCUUCAUGCCUUACGAAAUUGUCAGGUAUCUCGUGAUACUUAUAUUCUAGUUAGGAUUGGUAAUUCUUUAUUGUUUGUUGAUGUAAUGAGCUGUAUUAACUGGCUUGAACAUACGAUGAGGUUGCUUGAUAAGGAGGCAUUAACAAGCAUAUUGUCCCUGAUUUGGCCCCUAUGGAAUGUGAGUAAUGAUGGGGUCUUGAAAAGAAAACAAACUCUAGCACAUGUUGCUUUGUGAUAUGCGCACAAGCUCCAAAGCGAGUUCAAGGUCCAUAAUCUCAUUCAUAGGCCCUUGAUUCCGAAAGUGCCACAAGUUGUUCCAUGGAGACCUCCUUAAGGCUUGGCUUUGAAGCUAAACGUGGAUGCUUCUUUUUUUGAGGCGUGAGUCCGUGUGGGGCUUUGUGCAGUAUUGUAAGAUGGAGAUGGGUUGGUCUAUAAAGGUUUUAGGCGACAACUUGGAGGGGUUAUUGACCCAAAAUAGGCGGAGGCCCAUGCCGUAAUUGUUGGGUUAUGUUAUGCACAAUUUUGGAGAGUAAUUGUAUUUUGGUAGUCUCUAAACUUAAUUCAUUCAUAGUAUGGACUUACCUUUAUUGGGCCAAUUGUUAAAUGAGGCUCAGAUUUUUAUCUUUUUAUUCGACUGUCCUAUUUUUCAAUACGUAGCCUGUUCAGGUGAUACAUUAACAGACAAACUUAAUCAUUUAAGCUUAGAGUGUAUGAGCUCAUAUUCGUUUUCGAUUACCAGCGGAAUUACAUUCUUUUGUUCUUAACUAUAUUUGUUGAAGUUGAAUGGGUUUUAAUUAAAAAAAAAAAAGAUGGGUGAGCUUAAAAAUGAAUCAAACUAGUUGCAGCCCAAUAAAAUCUCAAUCUAGAUAUUAUUUUCUUCAUUUUCCAACAUUAUAUGGACAUUAAUCAAAUCCAAAGCUCACCUUUUGUUCACAUUCAAUCCAUCAAUUCAUUCCAAAAAGAUCUAAUUUCAUCCACAUGUUUCUUUAUUUAUUCCAUUUCCAGAAAAUUAUCAAAUAUUUUUUCAAGCAUCCACAGUCUCCUCUGUUUCAGCAGCAGCUAGAACAAACUCAGGCUGUACCCUUUCAGCUUCGCUGAAGGUCCCAUCUACGGCGUUGGGCUGCCCCAAUGCCUUCAAGGCUAAGUGUGCUGCUUUCUGCCCUGAUAUCAUCAUUGCUCCAAAUGUUGGACCCUGAAAAAACCAAAUCCACAAUUUCAUCGUUAUAACACAUCAAUAACUCAAAUCACAAUUAAAAAGUAAAAAGGGAGUGUUAAUAGUUACCAUUCUUGGGGCACCAUCAAUCUCUGCAACUUCCAUUCCUGUUACAAUCAUGCCAGGCACAAUUUCCCUUGUAAGCCUAACGAUUGCAUCCUCUGCCGUGUUCAUAUCCAGUGCCUUCAUUCCAGGGACGCUGUCAAUCAUCCCAAUGCUCUUCAAUCUCUUGACCCCAGUGGCUCCAAAAGGUCCAUCAUGUCCACAAGAACUGACCACAACCUUAGACUCCAUCACGUUCGGGUCCAUGCAGGAUUGUGUGUCGUGGUUCAUUGACACCAAAGCCCAGUUCGUUACCACACCGGCAACCCUGUUUCCUUUGACUAUCAGAUCCUCAGCAGCCACAGCAUUGAACAACUUCACGUUAGGCCUUGCUAAAAGCUUGCUCAUGAUUGUUGAUGUGAACAAAGCUGCAUGCUUGAUGACAACGUAGUCUUCUUGUUCGUCAUAUUGGAUGCCGAGCUCGUCGAGGAACCUGUGAGCUGGUUUGCGAACAACCAUGGCUGAAAAUAGUUGGCCACCAAGCCAUGCACCUCCACCAGGGCUAACAGAUUGUUCGAUUAUGGCAACACGGAUGUUGGGGUUUUUGCUAAUCUCGUAAGCACAAGAGAGGCCAGCGGAACCGGCGCCGACGAUGAUAACAUCAGUGUCAGCAUAGGUAAUCAUGUCCAUCAUGUAACGGCGUGUCAUUUCACGAGAAACAUAGGAUUCUUUGAUGGGUUGGAAUUCAAAGGAUUGUAAGUCA